GUCUUGCUGUCACUUAUAGAUGGAUCCGCGCUGCAUUAGCUAGUUGGUAAGGUAACGGCUUACCAAGGCAACGAUGCAUAGCCGACCUGAGAGGGUGAUCGGCCACACUGGAACUGAGACACGGUCCAGACUCCUACGGGAGGCAGCAGUAGGGAAUCUUCCGCAAUGGGCGAAAGCCUGACGGAGCAACGCCGCGUGAGUGAUGAAGGUCUUCGGAUCGUAAAACUCUGUUAUUAGGGAAGAACAUAUGUGUAAGUAACUGUGCACAUCUUGACGGUACCUAAUCAGAAAGCCACGGCUAACUACGUGCCAGCAGCCGCGGUAAUACGUAGGUGGCAAGCGUUAUCCGGAAUUAUUGGGCGUAAAGCGCGCGUAGGCGGUUUUUUAAGUCUGAUGUGAAAGCCCACGGCUCAACCGUGGAGGGUCAUUGGAAACUGGAAAACUUGAGUGCAGAAGAGGAAAGUGGAAUUCCAUGUGUAGCGGUGAAAUGCGCAGAGAUAUGGAGGAACACCAGUGGCGAAGGCGACUUUCUGGUCUGUAACUGACGCUGAUGUGCGAAAGCGUGGGGAUCAAACAGGAUUAGAUACCCUGGUAGUCCACGCCGUAAACGAUGAGUGCUAAGUGUUAGGGGGUUUCCGCCCCUUAGUGCUGCAGCUAACGCAUUAAGCACUCCGCCUGGGGAGUACGACCGCAAGGUUGAAACUCAAAGGAAUUGACGGGGACCCGCACAAGCGGUGGAGCAUGUGGUUUAAUUCGAAGCAACGCGAAGAACCUUACCAAAUCUUGACAUCCUUUGACAACUCUAGAGAUAGAGCUUUCCCCUUCGGGGGACAAAGUGACAGGUGGUGCAUGGUUGUCGUCAGCUCGUGUCGUGAGAUGUUGGGUUAAGUCCCGCAACGAGCGCAACCCUUAAGCUUAGUUGCCAUCAUUAAGUUGGGCACUCUAAGUUGACUGCCGGUGACAAACCGGAGGAAGGUGGGGAUGACGUCAAAUCAUCAUGCCCCUUAUGAUUUGGGCUACACACGUGCUACAAUGGACAAUACAAAGGGCAGCGAAACCGUGAGGUCAAGCAAAUCCCAUAAAGUUGUUCUCAGUUCGGAUUGUAGUCUGCAACUCGACUACAUGAAGCUGGAAUCGCUAGUAAUCGUAGAUCAGCAUGCUACGGUGAAUACGUUCCCGGGUCUUGUACACACCGCCCGUCACACCACGAGAGUUUGUAACACCCGAAGCCGGUGGAGUAACCUUUUAGGAGCUAGCCGUCGAAGGUGGGACAAAUGAUUGGGGUGAAGUCGUAACAAGGUAGCCGUAUCGGAAGGUGCGGCUGGAUCACCUCCUUU
rnacentral:rRNA from 1 species